GACGAACGCUGGCGGCGUGCUUAACACAUGCAAGUCGAACGGAAAGGCCCUGCUUUUGUGGGGUGCUCGUGUGGCGAACGGGUGAGUAACACGUGAGUAACCCUCCCUUGACUUUGGGAUAACUUUAGGGAACUGGGGCUAAUACCCGAUAGGAGCUUUUGCUCCAUGGUGGGGGUUGGAAAGUUUCGGCGGUUGGGGAUGUACUCGCGGCUUAUCGGCUUGUUGGUGGGGUAGUGGCUUACCAAGGCUGUGACGGGUAGCCGGCAUGAGAGGGUGACCGGGGACAUUAGGACUGAGGGAGGGAGCAGAAGGGUACGGGAGGCAACAGGGGAAAGUAUUGCGGAGUGGGCGGGAGCGUGAUACAGAAGCGCCGCGUGCGGGAAAACGGGCUUCUAGGUAAAAACCGAUGUCGCAGGUAACGAAGCGUGAGUGACGGUAAUGGAUAAAGAAGCACCGGCUAACUACGUG
rnacentral:rRNA from 1 species